rnacentral:misc_RNA from 1 species
AAGUCGUAACAAGGUUUCCGUAGGUGAACCUGCGGAAGGAUCAUUAAAACGUAUCCAAACGUUAAAACCCCCCGUGAACCUUGUACACUCGGGGAGGAGCUUUGCCAAAGGGUCCCCAUGCCCCCUAAUAACCCCACAGUUUAAUGUGAAGCUCAAUGUAAUACAUUGGGUAAAAAAACCGAACAACUGUUAACAAUGGAUAUCUUGGUUCAG